AUCACUGAAGUUAAGCAAUGUUGAGCCUGGUCAGUACCUAGAUGGGUGACCACUUGGGAAUACCAGGUGAUGUCAG